rnacentral:rRNA from 1 species
GACGAACGCUGGCGGCGUGCUUAACACAUGCAAGUCGAACGCUGAAGCUCAGCUUGCUGGGUGGAUGAGUGGCGAACGGGUGAGUAACACGUGAGUAACCUGCCCUCUUCUUUGGGAUAACGCCCGGAAACGGGUGCUAAUACUGGAUAUUCACUGAUUCUCGCAUGGGGGUUGGUGGAAAGGUUUUUUCUGGUGGGGGAUGGGCUCGCGGCCUAUCAGCUUGUUGGUGGGGUGAUGGCCUACCAAGGCUUUGACGGGUAGCCGGCCUGGGAGGGUGACCGGUCACAUUGGGACUGGGAUACGGCCCAGACUCCUACGGGAGGCAGCAGUGGGGAAUAGUGCACAAUGGGCGAAAGCCUGAUGCAGCGACGCCGCGUGAGGGAUGGAGGCCUUCGGGUUGUAAACCUCUUUCGCUCAUGGUCAAGCCGCAGCUUUGGGUUGAGGUGAGGGUAGUGGGUAAAGAAGCGCCGGCUAACUACGUG